GACGAACCGUGCGAACGUUGUUCGGAAUCACUGGGCAUAAAGCGCGUGUAGGCGGGUCGGCACGUCGGUCGCUGAAAUCCCCCGGCUCAACCGGGGAAGGGGCGCCGAUACGGCCGGCCUCGAGGGGAGUAGGGGGACCUGGAACUUCCGGUGGAGCGGUGAAAUGCGUUGAGAUCGGAAGGAACGCCCGUGGCGAAAGCGAGGUCCUGGGCUCUUACUGACGCUGAGACGCGAAAGCUAGGGGAGCAAACGGG
rnacentral:rRNA from 1 species